rnacentral:snRNA from 1 species
AUCACUUCUCAGCUUUCGGCUCAGAUCAAGUGUAGAUGGCGUAAUUAUCACUUUCAGAGCUGCUGUAUCCUCACCCAAGGACAGCACAGCAAAUGGAAUUUUGGAAAGAGGAGAUGGAAUAGGGGCUUGUUCUAUCCGCUGUCCACACUGAACACUGCAGUAUUUCCGGAGGAAAU